GACGUAGGGGGCAAGCGUUGUUCGGAAUUACUGGGCGUAAAGCGCACGUAGGCGGCUUCUUAAGUCGGUGGUGAAAUCCUGGAGCUCAACUCCAGAACUGCCUUCGAUACUGGGAAGCUCGAGUCCGGGAGAGGUGAGUGGAACUGCGAGUGUAGAGGUGAAAUUCGUAGAUAUUCGCAAGAACACCAGUGGCGAAGGCGGCUCACUGGCCCGGUACUGACGCUGAGGCACGAAAGCGUGGGGAGCAAACAGG
rnacentral:rRNA from 1 species